UCCACGCCGUAAACGAUGGAUACUAGAUGUUGGAGGACUCGACCCCUUCAGUGUCAAAGCUAACGCAUUAAGUAUCCCGCCUGGGGAGUACGGUCGCAAGAUUAAAACUCAAAGGAAUAGACGGGGACCCACACAAGCGGUGGAGCAUGUGGUUUAAUUCGACGAUAAGCGAGGAACCUUACCUGGACUUGACAUCCUGGGGAUUCUCCAGAAAUGGGGAAGUGCCGCAAGGA
rnacentral:rRNA from 1 species